UACGUAGGGACCAAGCGUUGUUCGGAUUUACUGGGCGUAAAGGGCGCGUAGGCGGCGCGGUAAGUCACUUGUGAAAUCUCUGAGCUUAACUCAGAACGGCCAAGUGAUACUGCAGUGCUAGAGUGUGGAAGGGGCAAUCGGAAUUCUUGGUGUAGCGGUGAAAUGCGUAGAUAUCAAGAGGAACACCUGAGGCGAAGGCGGGCUACUGGGCCGAUACUGACGCUGAGGCGCGAAAGCGUGGGGAGCGAACAGG
rnacentral:rRNA from 1 species